UACGAACUGCGCGAACGUUAUUCGGAAUCACUGGGCUUACAGGGUGCGUAGGCGGCCGACCAGGUCCGAUGUGAAAUCCCCCAGCUCAACUGGGGAAUGGCAUUGGAAACCGGCCGGCUUGAGUGAGCUAGAGGUGCACGGAACUUCCGGUGGAGCGGUGAAAUGCGUUGAUAUCGGAAGGAACACCAGAGGCGAAAGCGGUGCACUGGGGCUUGUCUGACGCUGAGGCACGAAAGCCAGGGGAGCGAACGGG
rnacentral:misc_RNA from 1 species